rnacentral:rRNA from 1 species
ACGUAGGUGGCAAGCGUUGUCCGGAUUUAUUGGGCGUAAAGGGAACGCAGGCGGUCUUUUAAGUCUGAUGUGAAAGCCUUCGGCUUAACCGGAGUAGUGCAUUGGAAACUGGAAGACUUGAGUGCAGAAGAGGAGAGUGGAACUCCAUGUGUAGCGGUGAAAUGCGUAGAUAUAUGGAAGAACACCAGUGGCGAAAGCGGCUCUCUGGUCUGUAACUGACGCUGAGGUUCGAAAGCGUGGGUAGCAAACAG